UGGGGAAUUUUGGACAAUGGGCGAAAGCCUGAUCCAGCAAUGCCGCGUGUGUGAAGAAGGCCUUCGGGUUGUAAAGCACUUUUGUCCGGAAAGAAAUCCUUGGCUCUAAUACAGUCGGGGGAUGACGGUACCGGAAGAAUAAGCACCGGCUAACUACGUGCCAGCAGCCGCGGUAAUACGUAGGGUGCAAGCGUUAAUCGGAAUUACUGGGCGUAAAGCGUGCGCAGGCGGUUUGCUAAGACCGAUGUGAAAAUCCCCGGGCUCAACCUGGGAACUGCAUUGGUGACUGGCAGGCUAGAGUAUGGCAGAGGGGGGUAGAAUUCCACGUGUAGCAGUGAAAUGCGUAGAGAUGUGGAGGAAUACCGAUGGCGAAGGCAGCCCCCUGGGCCAAAUACUGACGCUCAUGCACGAAAAGCGUGGGGAGCAAAACAGGAUUAGAUACCCUGGUAGUCCACGCCCUAAAACGAUGUCAACUAGUUGUUGGGGAUUCAUUUCCUUAGUAACGUAGCUAACGCGUGAAGUUGACCGCCUGGGGAGUACGGUCGCAAGAUUAAAACUCAAAUGAAUUGACGGGGUCAUAGCUGUUUCCU
rnacentral:rRNA from 1 species